GAUGAACGCUGGCGGCGUGCCUAAUACAUGCAAGUCGAGCGAACGGACGAGAAGCUUGCUUCUCUGAUGUUAGCGGCGGACGGGUGAGUAACACGUGGAUAACCUACCUAUAAGACUGGGAUAACUUCGGGAAACCGGAGCUAAUACCGGAUGAUAUUUUGAACCGCAUGGUUCAAAAGUGAAAGACGGUCUUGCUGUCACUUAUAGAUGGAUCCGCGCUGCAUUAGCUAGUUGGUAAGGUAACGGCUUACCAAGGCAACGAUGCAUAGCCGACCUGAGAGGGUGAUCGGCCACACUGGAACUGAGACACGGUCCAGACUCCUACGGGAGGCAGCAGUAGGGAAUCUUCCGCAAUGGGCGAAAGCCUGACGGAGCAACGCCGCGUGAGUGAUGAAGGUCUUCGGAUCGUAAAACUCUGUUAUUAGGGAAGAACAGAUGUGUAAGUAACUGUGCACAUCUGGACGGUACCUAAUCAGAAAACCACGGCUAACUACGU
rnacentral:rRNA from 1 species